rnacentral:lncRNA from 1 species
CGGCCUGCCCCGCGGCAAGAUGGCGGCGUGAAGGCAGCGGGCAGCGGCGGAAACUCCGGAGUUGGGCUGCUCUCAACCAAGCUGUCUGUUUAUAUGGAGUGCCUGGAGGGCGUCUGCCAUGAGUCUGUCGCUAUCCGUGCUAACCAGGAGAGCUGGCUGGUGGGGGAGAAGACACUAACCCUGUG